rnacentral:lncRNA from 1 species
GUAGAAACCGUUGAUGGGACUGAGAAACCAGAGUUAAAACCUCUUUGGAGCUUCUGAGGACUCAGCUGGAACCAACGGGCACAGUUGGCAACACCAUCAUGACAUCACAACCUGUUCCCAAUGAGACCAUCAUAGUGCUCCCAUCAAAUGUCAUCAACUUCUCCCAAGCAGAGAAACCCGAACCCACCAACCAGGGGCAGGAUAGCCUGAAGAAACAUCUACACGCAGAAAUCAAAGUUAUUGGGACUAUCCAGAUCUUGUGUGGCAUGAUGGUAUUGAGCUUGGGGAUCAUUUUGGCAUCUGCUUCCUUCUCUCCAAAUUUUACCCAAGUGACUUCUACACUGUUGAACUCUGCUUACCCAUUCAUAGGACCCUUUUUUUUUAUCAUCUCUGGCUCUCUAUCAAUCGCCACAGAGAAAAGGUUAACCAAGCUUUUGGUGCAUAGCAGCCUGGUUGGAAGCAUUCUGAGUGCUCUGUCUGCCCUGGUGGGUUUCAUUAUCCUGUCUGUCAAACAGGCCACCUUAAAUCCUGCCUCACUGCAGUGUGAGUUGGACAAAAAUAAUAUACCAACAAGAAGUUAUGUUUCUUACUUUUAUCAUGAUUCACUUUAUACCACGGACUGCUAUACAGCCAAAGCCAGUCUGGCUGGAACUCUCUCUCUGAUGCUGAUUUGCACUCUGCUGGAAUUCUGCCUAGCUGUGCUCACUGCUGUGCUGCGGUGGAAACAGGCUUACUCUGACUUCCCUGGGUGUACUUUUCCUGCCUCACAGUUACAUUGGUAAUUCUGGCAUGUCCUCAAAAAUGACUCAUGACUGUGGAUAUGAAGAACUAUUGACUUCUUAAGAAAAAAGGGAGAAAUAUUAAUCAGAAAGUUGAUUCUUAUGAUAAUAUGGAAAAGUUAACCAUUAUAGAAAAGCAAAGCUUGAGUUUCCUAAAUGUAAGCUUUUAAAGUAAUGAACAUUAAAAAAAAC